GGGCCCGUGGCGGAAUUGGUAUACGCAACGGACUUAAAAUCCGUCACCGCAAGGUAUGUGGGUUCGACUCCCACCGGGCCCACCA
rnacentral:tRNA from 1 species